AAAUCAAGCGCGAAAAGGGCGUUUGGUGGAUGCCUUGGCAGUAAGAGGCGAUGAAGGACGUGAUACUCUGCGAUAAGCCAUGGGGAGCUGAGAAUAAGCUUUGAUCCAUGGAUUUCCGAAUGGGGCAACCCACCUGACAGUUUGUUAUAAUAGCCUUCGGGCUGCUUAUAAUGGGCUGAAACAGGUACUUAUUACCUGAAUACAUAGGGUUUUAAGAGCAAACCCGGGGAACUGAAACAUCUAAGUACCCGGAGGAAAGGACAUCAAUAGAGACUCCCCUAGUAGCGGCGAGCGAACGGGGACCAGCCGAGUCCUGAGAGUGACCAGAACGACCUGGAAAGGUCGGCCAUAGCGGGUGACAGCCCCGUAUGGGAAGCUCAAUGGAACGUAUUAAGUAGGGCGGGACACGUGAAAUCCUGUUCGAAGAUCGGAGGACCACCUCCGAAGGCUAAGUACUCCUUACUGACCGAUAGCGAACCAGUACCGUGAGGGAAAGGUGAAAAGCACCCCGACGAGGGGAGUGAAACAGUACCUGAAACCGAACGCCUACAAUCAGUCGGAGCUUGACUGGACUCUAAUAACUAAGUAGAAGAUUAUUAUUAGUGUCCAGUCUUGUGACGGCGUACCUUUUGUAUAAUGGGUCAUCGACUUGGUCUAUCUAGCAAGCUUAAGCCGUUAGGUGUAGGCGCAGCGAAAGCGAGUCUUAAUAGGGCGUUGAGUUAGAUGGAUCAGACCCGAAACCGAGUGAUCUAGGCAUGACCAGGAUGAAGGUAAGGUAACACUUACUGGAGGUCCGAACCCACACCUGUUGAAAAAGGUCGGGAUGAGUUGUGCCUAGGGGUGAAAGGCCAAUCAAACUCGGAGAUAGCUGGUUCUCUGCGAAAUCUAUUUAGGUAGAGCGUCAUCCGAAUACCCCGGGGGGUAGAGCACUGGAUGGGUAAUGGGGCCCCACAGGCUUACUGAUCCUAACCAAACUCCGAAUACCCGGGAGUACUAGAUGGCAGACACACAGCGGAUGCUAACGUCCGUUGUGAAGAGGGAAACAACCCUGACCUACAGCUAAGGCCCCUAAUUCAUGGCUAAGUGGGAAAGCAGGUGGGACGACCAAAACAACCAGGAGGUUGGCUUAGAAGCAGCCAUCCUUUAAAGAUAGCGUAACAGCUCACUGGUCUAAAUAAGUUGUCCUGCGGCGAAGAUGUAACGGGGCUCAAGCCAUGAGCCGAAGCUUAGGAUGCCGUAAGGCAUGGUAGCAGAGCGUAGUGUGACAUAGUUCCAUGUCUCUUUUGCCUCUUUCGGGAGGUAUUGGAGACGCGGAGCUUUCUGUGAAGCUGGCGCGUGAGCGAUCCGGUGGAGAGAUCACUAGUGAGAAUGAUGACAUGAGUAGCGACAAAGAGUGUGAGAGACACUCUCGCCGAAAGUCCAAGGGUUCCUGCUUAAAGCUAAUCUGAGCAGGGUAAGCCGACCCCUAAGGCGAGGCCGAAAGGCGUAGUCGAUGGGAACCAGGUUAAUAUUCCUGGGCCAGAUGGAAGUGACGGAUCUCGAAGAUUGUUCCUCCUUAUCGGAUUGGAGGGGCCGUUGAGAGGUUCCUGGAAAUAGCUCCAUCGCUAGAUCGUACCCUAAACCGACACAGGUGGACUGGUAGAGAAUACCAAGGCGCUUGAGAGAACUAUGUUGAAGGAACUCGGCAAAAUACCUCCGUAAGUUCGCGAGAAGGAGGCCCGGUUUCUAGGCAACUAGAGGCUGGGGGCACAAACCAGGGGGUGGCGACUGUUUACUAAAAACACAGGGCUCUGCGAAGUCGUAAGACGACGUAUAGGGUCUGACGCCUGCCCGGUGCCUGAAGGUUAAAAGGAGGGGUGAGAGCUCUGAAUUGAAGCCCAGGUAAACGGCGGCCGUAACUAUAACGGUCCUAAGGUAGCGAAAUUCCUUGUCGGGUAAGUUCCGACCUGCACGAAUGGCGUAACGACUUCCCCGCUGUCUCCAACAUAGACUCAGCGAAAUUGAAUUGCCUGUCAAGAUGCAGGCUUCCCGCGGUUAGACGGAAAGACCCCGUGCACCUUUACUACAACUUCACACUGGCAUUAGGCCGAACAUGUGCAGGAUAGGUGGUAGGCUUUGAAGCGUGAACGCCAGUUUGCGUGGAGCUUCCCUUGAGAUACCACCCUUGUUCUGCUUGAUGUCUAACCGCGGUCCGUUAUCCGGAUCCGGGACCCUGUGUGGUGGGUAGUUUGACUGGGGCGGUCGCCUCCUAAAGCGUAACGGAGGCGCGCGAAGGUUGGCUCAGAGCGGUCGGAAAUCGCUCGUUGAGUGCAAUGGCAGAAGCCAGCCUGACUGCAAGACUGACAAGUCGAGCAGAGACGAAAGUCGGCCAUAGUGAUCCGGUGGUCCCAAGUGGGAGGGCCAUCGCUCAACGGAUAAAAGGUACGCCGGGGAUAACAGGCUGAUACUGCCCAAGAGUCCAUAUCGACGGCAGUGUUUGGCACCUCGAUGUCGGCUCAUCUCAUCCUGGGGCUGGAGCAGGUCCCAAGGGUACGGCUGUUCGCCGUUUAAAGAGGUACGUGAGCUGGGUUUAGAACGUCGUGAGACAGUUCGGUCCCUAUCUGCCGUGGGUGUAGGAUACUUGAGAGGAGUUGCCCCUAGUACGAGAGGACCGGGGUGAACGAACCACUGGUGGACCAGUUGUCGUGCCAACGGCAGUGCUGGGUAGCUAAGUUCGGACAGGAUAACCGCUGAAGGCAUCUAAGCGGGAAGCCCCCCUCAAAACAAGGUAUCCCUGAGGGCCGUGGUAGACCACCACGUCGAUAGGCCGGAGAUGUAAGCGCGGUAACGCGUUCAGUUGACCGGUACUAAUGGCCCGAUAGGCUUGAUUUG
rnacentral:rRNA from 1 species